rnacentral:rRNA from 1 species
UACGUAGGUGGCGAGCGUUGUCCGGAAUUACUGGGUGUAAAGCGCGUGUAGGCGGGAGGCCAAGUCUGUGGUGAAAUCGCUCGGCUUAACUGGGCGGGGUCCAUGGAAACUGGUCACCUGGAGGUCGGUAGAGGCAAGUGGAAUUCCCGGUGUAGUGGUGAAAUGCGUAGAGAUCGGGAGGAACACCAGUGGCGAAGGCGGGUCUCUGGGCCGAUACUGACGCUGAGGAGCGAAAGCGUGGGGAGCGAACAGG